rnacentral:rRNA from 1 species
UACGUAGGGGGCGAGCGUUGUCCGGAUUCAUUGGGCGUAAAGAGCUCGUAGGCGGUUCGGUAAGUCAGGUGUGAAAACUCCAGGCUCAACUUGGAGACGCCACCUGAUACUGUCGUGACUAGAGUCCGGUAGGGGAGCAUGGAAUUCCUGGUGUAGCGGUGAGAUGCGCAGAUAUCAGGAGGAACACCAGCGGCGAAGGCGGUGCUCUGGGCCGGAACUGACGCUGAGGAGCGAAAGCGUGGGGAGCGAACAGG